GCCUGGGUGGCUCAGUCGGUUAAGCGUCUGACUUCGGCUCAGGUCACGAUCUCGCGGUUCGUGAGUUCGAGCCCCGCGUCAGGCU
rnacentral:tRNA from 1 species